UACGUAGGAGGCAAGCGUUGUCCGGAGUUACUGGGCGUAAAGCGCACGCAGGCGGUCCCAUUAGUCUGUAGGGACAGGGCACGGCUCAACCGUGUCAGGCUUACGGAAACUGUGGGACUUGAGGGCUUCAGAGGGAUGGGGGAAUUCCGGGUGGAGUGGUGAAAUGCGUAGAGAUCCGGAAGAACACCAAAGGCGAAGGCACCAUCCUGGGGAGUCACUGACGCUCGGGUGCGAAAGCUAGGGGAGCGAACGGG
rnacentral:rRNA from 1 species